rnacentral:rRNA from 1 species
UACAGAGACUGCAAGCGUUAUUCGGAUUCACUGGGUUUAAAGGGUGCGUAGGAGGGCAGGUAAGUCAGUGGUGAAAUCUCCAAGCUUAACUUGGAAACUGCCGUUGAUACUAUCUGUCUUGAAUACCGUGGAGGUGAGCGGAAUAUGUCAUGUAGCGGUGAAAUGCUUAGAUAUGACAUAGAACACCAAUUGCGAAGGCAGCUCGCUACACGAAUAUUGACUCUGAGGCACGAAAGCGUGGGGAUCAAACAGG